rnacentral:lncRNA from 7 species
GGAUGGGUCUCUUUCUGGAUGUUGUUCCUUUUGGUGUUUUUUUUUCUGAAAACCAAGGACAUGGCUCUAAAACAGAAUGAGUCACAAGGACCUUUUUCAGACCUGGUAUCCUUUCUACCAUCAAGAAACAACAUGAUGUUUAGCACCAGACCAACAUACAGCUUCUCUACAGGAUUCAGAUUUCUUCACAAUAAGGUGAAAUCGUCGAUGGUAUAAAUCCUAGCUGAGAUAAAGGUGCUGCAUCCUUUCUGCCAUCAGAGGACAGAAUUCACUAGUUCCUGUUCAGAAAGGAACAUGCCUGAAAUGCAUUGCUGUUAUAUAGUAUCUAGAAAUUAGGAUGAGGACAUGUCUAGGUUUCUAAUUCCAUAGCACUUAGCAAUCAAUGAUAAGGUUCAGCUAUCUCCUUGUUCUUGUCUGCUGUAGGAAGCCCUAGGCUGAACACUAUUUCUACUAGUUUCUACUUCUGCUUCUACAGAAGCACUUGCUUCCGGGUGGCUUCUGAAGGUGAGUGACCUCACAACCAGCACAGAAGAUGCUACUGAAACCUUAAGGUUAAAUUAAUUUGUGCUAUGUUUGAAAAGUGCUAUGUACAAGCAGGGAAAGUUAAAAUGCUUUGAACCUAAUGGCUGAAAAUAUAUUAAAAAAAAAAGAGUCUCUUCUGUCAUACUGAUAAUUCCGAUUAUAAUUCUAAUAACUCAGAUAAUUGAAGAGAUAUCAAAAAUGUGCUUGGCGUUUUUUUCAAUAAAACAAUGGGUCUAAUCAUUAUUUUGGGGUUUUAUAUAGUCGUGUACAAUAGUAGAUAGGGAGGUUAAGGAGUGAAAUUCUUGUUUCUGAGUACGGGAUUGCAGAUAUCUUAUAGGAUUAACAUUUUAAAAGAUUGCACAAGUUUUAUAAUAUCAUGCCUCAAAAAAAGUAUUUUCAUUCCCUAUUACAUUUAGCAAAUAUUUUGGCCUGAUUAUAUUUACGAAUGUUUCAAUUGUAAUUUAGAAAUGUUGCAUCUCAUAUUCUUGCCCAUAGACAUAGUGUCAUACAUACUCACCUGUUGAGAAAUAUUAAAAUAUUCUCUUUUUAACUUUUAUAAUUGAAAUUGUUGCUUUUUACAGUAAGUUUCGGGUGUGUCUCAACUCUAAGUGUAAUUAUUACUUAAGCAUGCAUUUCUUUCGUGUUUUAUAAGGCAGUUUUGUUAGACAUCAAAAAUAAACUCCUGAUUUC